rnacentral:lncRNA from 1 species
UUGUUUUCCCGGCUAGGCUCUGGAGCGGCGGGCGCGGCGCGAUGCGCGGGUACCCGGGAGCGAACGGCUGCAAGCCCCGAUGAAGCUCGAGCAGCCCCAGCCUGAUGGAGGCGCCUCCGUGGGAGCCGGUGCGCAAUGACUCCCUGCCUCCCACGCUGAGCCCCGCGGUGCCGCCCUACGUGAAGCUCGGCCUCACCGCGGUCUACAACCGUCUUCUACGCGCUCCUCUUCGUGUUCAUCUAUGCGCAGCUCUGGCUGGUGCUGCGCUACCGUCACAAGCGGCUCAGCUACCAGAGCGUCUUCCUCUUCCUUUGCCUCUUCUGGGCCUCGCUGCGUACCGUGCUCUUCUCCUUUUACUUCCGAGACUUCGUGGCAGCCAACUCGUUCAGCCCCUUCGUCUUCUGGCUGCUCUACUGCUUCCCCGUGUGUCUACAGUUCUUCACCCUCACGCUCAUGAACUUGUACUUCACGCAGGUGAUUUUCAAGGCCAAGUCAAAAUAUUCUCCAGAGCUACUCAAAUACCGGUUACCCCUCUACCUGGCCUCACUUUUCAUCAGCCUCGUUUUCCUGUUGGUGAAUCUGACCUGUGCUGUGCUGGUGAAGACGGGAGACUGGGACAGGAAGGUUAUCGUCUCUGUGAGAGUGGCCAUCAAUGACACACUCUUUGUGCUGUGUGCUAUCUCUCUCUCCAUCUGCCUCUACAAAAUCUCCAAGAUGUCCCUGGCGAACAUCUACUUGGAGUCAAAGGGCUCAUCAGUGUGUCAGAUCAAGAACGUCCAUUCCUUUGAUUAUGACUGGUACAAUGUAUCCGACCAGGUGCAGCAGGGAGAAAGCAAGGAAAGGACGCUCAGGCAGAUCUGAAGAGCCAGCUGGGUGAUGCCGGCUACGUAGUGUUUGGCGUGGUGCUUUUCGUGUGGGAGCUCCUACCCACCACCUUGGUGGUUUAUUUCUUUCGAGUCAGAAAUCCCACGAAGGAUCUUACCAAUCCUGGGAUGGUCCCCAGCCAUGGAUUCAGUCCCAGAUCUUACUUCUUUGACAACCCCCGAAGAUAUGACAGUGAUGAUGACCUUGCCUGGAACAUUGCCCCUCAGGGACUUCAGGGAAGGACCUCUCCGAGCCUACCCAGAGAGAGCCAGGGCAUGUGCUGCUCCACUCACUCACUGGAACGUGAUCUGGGACAUCCAGGCAGACCUCUUGGAUCCUCUUCUAAAGCCAGAGAAUAUAUGAACAAUUAUCACUAGAGUGAAUAUAUUAUAAGAACCAAAAAUUGAAA